rnacentral:rRNA from 1 species
GAUGAACGCUGGCGGCGUGCCUAAUACAUGCAAGUCGAGCGAACAGACGAGGAGCUUGCUCCUCUCACGUUAGCGGCGCACGGGUGAGUAACACGUGUAUAACGCACCUAUAAGACUGGGAUAACUACGGGAAACCGGAGCAUAUACCGGAUAAUAUAUUGAACCGCGUGGUGCAAUGGUGAAAGACGGUGUUUCUGUCUCGUAUAGAGGGAUCCGCGCCGCAUUAGCUAGUUGGUAAGUUAACGGCUUACCAAGGCGACGAUGCGUAGACGACCUGAGAGGGUGAUAGCCCACCCUGGAAGUGAGCCGGGGACCAGACGACUGCGGGACGCACCAGACGCGAACGUUACGCAGUAGGGGAGAACAUGACGGAGCGACGGCGAGUCAGUGGUGACAGUCCUCCGAUCGUAAAAAUCUGUUAUUAGGGAUGAACCGCUGUCUCAUUAGCUGUACCCGUCUUGACGGUACCUAGUAAAAAAGCCACGGCUAACUACGUG